rnacentral:misc_RNA from 1 species
GCCCUGAAAAUGGAUGGCGCUCAAGCGUGUUACCUAUACCUCGCCGUCGGGGUAGAAAUGACGCCCCGACGAGUAGGCAGGCGUGGGGGUCCGUGACGAAGCCUAGGGAGUGAUCCCGGGUCGAACGGCCCCUAGUGCAGAUCUUGGUGGUAGUAGCAAAUACUCAAAUGAGAACUUUGAGGACUGAAGUGGGGAAAGGUUCCAUGUGAACAGCAGUUGGACAUGGGUUAGUCGAUCCUAAGGCAUAGGGAAGUUCCGUUUGAAAGGCGCCCUCGUGCGCCGUGUGCCGAAAGGGAAGCCGGUUAACAUUCCGGCACCUGGAUGUGGAUUCUCCACGGCAACGUAACUGAACGCGGAGACGUCGGCGGGGGUCCUGGGAAGAGUUCUCUUUUCUUCUUGACGGCCUAUCACCCUGAAAUCGGUUUGUCCGGAG